rnacentral:tRNA from 2 species
AUCUUUCUAGUACUAAAGUAAGUAUGAGUGACUUCCAAUCACUGGGUCUUGGUUAAAAUCCAAGGAAAGAUA